rnacentral:rRNA from 1 species
GAUGAACGCUGGCGGCGUGCCUAAUACAUGCAAGUCGAGCGAACAGACGAGGAGCUUGCUCCUCUGACGUUAGCGGCGGACGGGUGAGUAACACGUGGAUAACCUACCUAUAAGACUGGGAUAACUUCGGGAAACCGGAGCUAAUACCGGAUAAUAUAUUGAACCGCAUGGUUCAAUAGUGAAAGACGGCUUUGCUGUCACUUAUAGAUGGAUCCGCGCCGCAUUAGCUAGUUGGUAAGGUAAAGGCCUACCAAGGCAACGAUGCGUAGCCGACCGGAGAGGGUGAUCGGCCACACGGGAACUGGGACACGGUCCAGACUCCUACGGGAGGCAGCAGUAGGGAAUCUUCCGCAAUGGGCGAAAGCCUGACGGAGCAACGCCGCGUGAGUUAUGAAGGUCUUCGGAUCGUAAAACUCUGUUAUUAGGGAAGAACAAAUGUGUAAGUAACUAUGCACGUCUUGACGGUACCUAAUCAGAAAGCCACGGCUAACUACGUG